rnacentral:lncRNA from 1 species
AACCGUCCAACCUGGCCCUAGCAGAGGAAAGGCGUCCUCGUAGCUCCGCCAUUGGAAAUCGGCUUCAUCCUGCCCUUUGUGGCCUCCUGAGAGAUUUGUAAACCCCACCUCCCUUAGCACUGUGGUCUCAAGCCAGGAGAACAUCCAUACAUGUAUUUAUGAUCGUGCUUCUGCCUCGCCUCGUUCACCUCUGGCUUGUACCACAGCACGCAGGCUCGAACCACUUCGGGCCUUUGUGCUUGCCGAUUUCUCUGGCAGAACAUUUCCUCCAGAUUUUUUUUAACUCCUCGAUGUUCGAUGCAUAUUUCAGGUCCCUUCUCAGAGGGCUGCCCAGACCACUGUAUCCAAAAAAAGUACACCUGCACCAUUGCUUUAACUCUUCACCUGCUUUUAUUUCUUCAUAACAGUUACAACUUCCAGACCUUAUUUGUCAGUAUCCUCACCACCAGAAAUGUAAAAUUUUUAAAAGCAGGGACUUAGUAAACUGUUUUGCUCAUUGCUGUAUCCCCAGAAUUGUGUCUGGCACAAAGCAGUGCUCAGUAAUAUCAAAACAGAUCUACCAACUAUAUUGAGCAUGUAGGAAAAUAAAGCCCAACACACAUUAAUGAAGAUAAAUAACUUCAUCAUUUAUGAGCUGUGGAAAAACAGCUAAACCUCCUUCCGUGGCUAUAAAGAUUAUGUUCCAAAAAUAUAAAAUCCAGUGGUAGAAGCCGUUAACUGGGGCUCUUCUUUGACAAUUGUCCAGUGCUGUUUCAUUACUUUUGUUUUCCUUUGCAACACUAUUUUUUUUUUCGGGCAAGUGGAUACGUG